rnacentral:rRNA from 1 species
AUUGAACGCUGGCGGCAUGCCUUACACAUGCAAGUCGAACGGCAGCACGGGUGCUUGCACCUGGUGGCGAGUGGCGAACGGGUGAGUAAUACAUCGGAACAUGUCCUGUAGUGGGGGAUAGCCCGGCGAAAGCCGGAUUAAUACCGCAUACGAUCUACGGAUGAAAGCGGGGGACCUUCGGGACUCGCGUUAUAGGGUUGGCCGAUGGCUGAUUAGCUAGUUGGUGGGGUAAAGGCCUACCAAGGCGACGAUCAGUAGCUGGUCUGAGAGGACGACCAGCCACACUGGGACUGAGACACGGCCCAGACUCCUACGGGAGGCAGCAGUGGGGAAUUUUGGACAAUGGGCGAAAGCCUGAUCCAGCAAUGCCGCGUGUGUGAAGAAGGCCUUCGGGUUGUAAAGCACUUUUGUCCGGAAAGAAAUCCUUGGCCCUAAUACGGUCGGGGGAUGACGGUACCGGAAGAAUAAGCACCGGCUAACUACGUG